AAUCAACGCUGGCGGCGUGCCUCAGACAUGCAAGUCGAACGAUUAAACUUUCCUUCGGGAAAGAUAUAAAGUGGCGCACGGGUGAGUAACACGUAGAUAAUGUACCUUUGGGUGGGGAAUAACAGUCGGAAACGACUGCUAAUACCGCAUAAUGCAGCGGCAUCGCAAGAUGACAAUUGUUAAAGCGAGCAAUCGCGCCUAAAGAGCAGUCUGCGGCAGAUUAGGUAGUUGGUAAGGUAAUGGCUUACCAAGCCUGCGAUCUGUAACCGACCUGAGAGGGUGGUCGGUCACACUGACACUGAAUAACGGGUCAGACUCCUACGGGAGGCAGCAGUCGGGAAUUUUGGGCAAUGGGCGAAAGCCUGACCCAGCAACGCCGC
rnacentral:rRNA from 1 species